GGACGAACGCUGGCGGCGUGCUUAACACAUGCAAGUCGAGCGGUAAGGCCCUUUCGGGGGUACACGAGCGGCGAACGGGUGAGUAACACGUGGGUGACCUGCCCUCAGCUCUGGGAUAAGCCUGGGAAACCGGGUCUAAUACCGGAUAUGACUCCAUGACGCAUGUUGUGGGGUGGAAAGCCUUGUGCGGCUGAGGAUGGGCCCGCGGCCUAUCAGCUUGUUGGUGGGGUGAUGGCCUACCAAGGCGACGACGGGUAGCCGGCCUGAGAGGGCGACCGGCCACACUGGGACUGAGACACGGCCCAGACUCCUACGGGAGGCAGGCAGUGGGGGAAUCUUGCGCAAUGGGCGAAAGCCUGAC
rnacentral:rRNA from 1 species